GCCGGACAGGGUGGUGUGCGUCUGUAAUCCCAGCAGCUUAGGAGGCUGAGGCAGGAGGAUCUCAAGUUCAAAGCUAGCCUCAGCAACUUGGCGAGGCUCUAAGCAAUUCAACAAGACCUUGUCUCUA
rnacentral:sRNA from 1 species